rnacentral:rRNA from 3 species
GUAGGCCUCAAGUGAUGUGUGACUACCC